AUGCUCAUGCUGCUGCUCCUCCCGCUCGCCUUCUUCUUGCUGCGCCCAACUACAGCCACCGGCAGCAGCGGAAGCUGCACGCCGGAGUCAUGCGGGGACCUGACCAUCAGAUACCCCUUCUCCCUCGCUGGAGUGCAGCCACUCUACUGUGGCUACCCAUCCUUCGAGCUCACCUGCGACACGGGCACCGGCCCCGCCUACCUGAGCAACACGUUCAGGGAGCACCUGUUCCGCGUCGACAACAUCUCCUACGCGGACAACUCCAUGGUGGCCGCCGUGCAGACAGCCUUCGCCGGCGACACCGGCUGUCCCGUCCCCGACUUCAACGUGACGGCCAGCCUCGCCCUCUUCCCGUUCAACAUCAGCGCCACAAACAAGCGCCUCGUGUUCUUCUACAACUGCACCGUGCCCGCUAGGUUCAUGCUGCGGCGGCUGUGUGCCAACAACACGAUGGGGGCGUACAUUUCCGGUCUUUGGGGCAGCAGUGAAGGCAGCACGCUGCCGCAGGGGGUUCCCACAAACUGUAUCUCUGUGAGCGUGCCGGUGCGCAGAGGGAUGGAGCCUCAUAUGCACUACGCGCAGCUGAUCAGAGAUGGGUUCCUCCUGGAGCUGCCGGCGCCGCUGGGAGACUGCUACAGAUGCAGACAGAUGAGCGGCGGGGAGUGCAGGUUCGAUCAGUUUGCGUUCCAGUGCGUCUGCCCCGACGGGAAGCUCUGCCCCAUUACCAAUACCACCCAAGUGACCAACUCAACAGCUCAUCCAGGUAACAAAAGGGCUGGCACAAAGAUACUACUAAUAGGUUUGACAUCAGCAGGUGCAGCACUGCUCUUUCCUUGUAUCUAUGUGCUGAUAUGGUAUAUGAGGGGAAAAAGAAACUGGUUUCUCCUCUGGAAAAAGAAUAGCAGCAGCACUGAAAGGCAUUACAAGGCCAUGAUAGUAUCAUAUGGGCCGCUUGCUCCAAAAAGAUACAUGUACUCAGAGGUAAUGAAGAUAACAUCUUUUCGCAAUAAGAAGCUUGGUCAGGGUGGUUACGGUGUAGUUUUUGAAGGAAAGCUACAAGAUGGUCGUCUGGUUGCUGUGAAAUUCUUGCAUGACUGCAAAGGAAAUGGGGAGGAGUUUGUAAAUGAGGUUAUGAGCAUUGGCAGGACCUCUCAUGUGAAUAUUGUUAGACUGUUUGGCUUUUGUUUGGAGGGAUCAAAACGAGCUCUUAUAUAUGAGUACAUGUGCAAUGGUUCCCUGGAUAGAUACAUUUACUCAGAGAACCCAAAAGAAAUUUUAGGAUGGGAGAGGCUCUAUGCGAUAGCAAUCGGGAUAGCUCGUGGACUGGAAUAUUUGCAUCAUAGUUGUAAUACACGGAUCAUCCAUUUUGACAUUAAGCCCCAAAAUAUCCUUCUAGACAAAUAUUACUGCCCCAAGAUUGCCGACUUCGGUCUUGCUAAGCUCUGUCGUACCAAGGAGAGCAAGCUUUCAAUGAUUGGUCCUAGAGGAACAAUUGGAUUCAUUGCUCCAGAAGUUCACUCACGAAACUUUGGACUUGUUUCAACAAAGUCAGAUGUUUAUAGUUAUGGAAUGAUGUUGCUAGAGAUGGUUGGAGGCAGGAAAAAUGUGAAAUCUGUGGCUGAACAAUCAAGCGAAAAGUAUUUCCCAGAUUGGAUUUAUGAUCACUUUGCUCGAGAUGAUGGAUUAGAGGCAUGUGAAGUUACAAGUGACAUUGAGGAAAUUGCAAGAAAGAUGACCUUGAUUGGCUUGUGGUGCAUACAAGUAUUACCUGUGUAUCGCCCUACUAUAACCAAAGUUCUAGAAAUGUUCGAGAGAAGCUUAGAUGAUAUGGCCAUGCCACCAAAGCAGAACUUCAGUGGACUACUCGAAAAUGCAGCUCAUAAUAUGAAUGUACAAAGUGCAAGCUCUACGACAUCUGAGGAGAUAAGGCUUGUGAAUUCAGGAAACACACAACAAUUUCCACCUCUUUGA
rnacentral:rRNA from 1 species